CAGUCCUUUAAAAUUUUAUUGUCAUCGUUUUGCAUUUAGACUUACCAAUUAAAACAUGCCAUUUUUUACCCUUUAGUUCAGAUGUAUUUCUCUUCUUAGAGAUAAAGACUCUAAUAGAUUAUUCAGGUUGGGUGCAGUGGCUCAUGCCUGUAAUCCCAGAACUUUAGGAGGCCAAGGCAGGUGGAUCACCUGAGGGUGGGAGUUCGAGGCCAGCCUGACCAACGUGGAGAAAUAUUUUUUUAACUUUAUUAUUAUUAUACUUUAAAUUUUAGGGUACAUGUGCACAACGUGCAGGAGUGAUUUUAUUUUUAUAUGGAAUCCAAGUUUCAGUUUCAUCACAUUCAGGUCAGUGUGGCUCAGGACAAAGCCAGCAUGUUUUGCUGGAGGCAGAGAUUAUGGUACUAAGUGUAAGCCCCCUGGGACUUAGCCGACUUCUCUGGGAGAAAUGUGGGCUUUCUCACGCAAUGGUGCAUGUCAUGCUGCGUCUAAGGAACUCCAUUCACAUCGAAGUCUAUGUGAAUGGCCUUCUUUAGAGGUAUAUUAGGUACAACCUGAGCAACUGAAUGUGACAGCCCUGGAACUCAGGCAUUAGAGGACAUUUCGCCUCAAUCUGAAGGAAUGGGGAGAUCUCCCUUCUUCACCCUCCUAGCUAAUAUUCUGGUGCACGUUAUAUUUAUAUAUAUUUAUAAACCUCUAUGUCUAAGGUUCUAAGGUCCUAGGGUUCUAUGAUUCUACAGUUCUCUGACUCCAAGAACCUAAGAGUAUAAUCAGGUUCUAUAAUUCUAUGGCAUUUUUUUUUUUUUUUUUUUUAGAGAGACAGAGUUUUACCAUGUUGCCCAGGCUGGUCUUGAACUCAUAGACUCAAGCAAUCCACCCACUUUGGCCUCCCAAAGUGCUAAGAUUACAGGCAAGAGCCGCCACGUCCAGCCCUGCAGAUAUUCUUUACCUCACAGAAGUUGUAGAGCUCUUAACCAUCUGCUUUUCUCAUCAAUCCUUUACAAAGCCUACAGAAGGAGUUUGCGUGGUUCCGUGCUGGCCUGAGCUCAUCUCCAGCUCUGUUUCUUACUUGCUGGGUGAUCUUGGGCAAGUAAUUUCCCUUCUCUGGGCCUCAGUUUGCUUCAUCUGUGAAGUGGGUGGGAUACUCUCAGCCUUUGAGGGUUCACAAAGCUGUCCUUCAUAGAGUUGUUUAUAACUGCCUCCAAAUGAAAACUGCCUAAUUACUCAUCAAGAGGAGAUUGGUUCAAUCAAUGAUGGUCUAUCAGUCAGCCAUUCAAAAUCAUGUUGGGGCUGCGCACCGUGGCUCACACCUGUAAUCCCAGCACCAAAUUGUUCCUACCAGCUCCUCUCAUCUUAGAAAAGUCAGGGCCAGGAGACAGCUGAGUCAGCUUCUAAGGGUUGUUGAAAUGGUCCCAUGCAGACUCUGGUAUUGCAUCGUGGGCAUUUUCUGCUGUGUGGGGCAGAACAGGC
rnacentral:lncRNA from 10 species